rnacentral:rRNA from 1 species
GACGAACGCUGGCGGCGUGCUUAACACAUGCAAGUCGAACGUGAUUUUUGUGGAAAUUCUUUCGGGAAUGGAAAUGAAAUGAAAGUGGCGAACGGGUGAGUAACACGUGAGCAACCUACCUUACACAGGGGGAUAGCCGUUGGAAACGACGAUUAAUACCGCAUGAGACCACAGAAUCGCAUGAUAUAGGGGUCAAAGAUUUAUCGGUGUAAGAAGGGCUCGCGUCUGAUUAGCUAGUUGGAAGGGUAAAGGCCUACCAAGGCGACGAUCAGUAGCCGGUCUGAGAGGAUGAACGGCCACAUUGGAACUGAGACACGGUCCAAACUCCUACGGGAGGCAGCAGUGGGGAAUAUUGCACAAUGGGGGGAACCCCGAUGCAGCGACGCCGCGUGAGCGAAGAAGGUUUUCGAAUCGUAAAGCUCUGUCCUAUGAGAAGAUAAUGACGGUAUCAUAGGAGGAAGCCCCGGCUAAAUACGUG